rnacentral:rRNA from 1 species
CGAAGGAUGCAAGCGUUAUCCGGAUUCAUUGGGUUUAAAGGGAGCGUAGGCGGACUUAUAAGUCAGUGGUGAAAUCUCUGGGCUUAACUCAGAAACUGCCAUUGAUACUGUAGGUCUAGAGUACAUUUGCUGUGGGCGGAAUAUGACAUGUAGUGGUGAAAUACUUAGAUAUGUCAUAGAACACCGAUUGCGAAGGCAGCUCACAAAAAUGUAACUGACGCUGAGGCUCGAAAGUGCGGGGAUCAAACAGGAUUAGAUACCCUGGUAGUCCGCACUGUAAACGAUGAUUACUCGCUGCUUGGGGGCAACCCUGAGUGGCUUAGCGAAAGCGAUAAGUAAUCCACCUGGGGAGUACGCCGGCAACGGUG